rnacentral:rRNA from 1 species
UACGUAGGGGGCGAGCGUUGUCCGGAUUCAUUGGGCGUAAAGCGCGCGUAGGCGGCUCGACAAGUCGGCCGUGAAAUCUCCAGGCUCAACUUGGAGGGGUCGGGCGAGACUGUCGGGCUCGAGGUGGGCAGAGGGCAGUGGAAUUCCGGGGUGUAGUGGUGGAAUGCGUAGAGAUCCGGAGGAACACCAGUGGCGAAGGCGGCUGCCUGGGCCUGGCCUGACGCUGAGGCGGCGAAAGCGUGGGGAGCGAGUCCGG